rnacentral:rRNA from 1 species
CCUACGGGUGGCUGCAGUGAGGAAUAUUGGUCAAUGGGCGCGAGCCUGAACCAGCCAAGUAGCGUGAAGGAUGACUGCCCUACGGGUUGUAAACUUCUUUUAUAAGGGAAUAAAGUGAGCCACGUGUGCCUUUUUGUAUGUACUUUAUGAAUAAGGAUCGGCUAACUCCGUGCCAGCAGCCGCGGUAAUACGGAGGAUCCGAGCGUUAUCCGGAUUUAUUGGGUUUAAAGGGAGCGUAGGUGGGUUGUUAAGUCAGUUGUGAAAGUUUGCGGCUCAACCGUAAAAUUGCAGUUGAUACUGGCAGCCUUGAGUACAGUAGAGGUAGGCGGAAUGCGUGGUGUAGCGGUGAAAUGCUUAGAUAUCACGAAGAACUCCGAUUGCGAAGGCAGCCUACUAGACUGCCACUGACAUUGAGGCUCGAAAGUGUGGGUAUCAAACAGGAUUAGAUACCCGAGUAGUC